UGCUAGGAGGCUGGAGA
rnacentral:misc_RNA from 1 species